UACAUAAUUAUCUUAGCACAGCCUCUGCAGGGAAAUUAGAAAAGUAUGCCAUAAAAAGAAAAAACCCAGUAUUUGUCAGUCUGCCUGAAUGGGCGACGGCAGAUUAUCAAAAUGGCCGACAGCUGGCGCUGUGCGCCAACAGCGCCGGCCUCCAUCUGACCGACCGAUAGAUAGCCUCCUGCCACAUUACCUCGGGCCAUCAUCUGUUCAGGGAGCUGUGUGGCAAGUAACAUAGAAGCGUUCACCUUGGAAGACUGGCAGAAUGGAAAAUAGAACUACUGCACUCAAAUUAAUAGGAAUUUAUAGCAAGCAUCUACCAUGUUUUUCCCUGAGAGCAAAGUAUAUGGAGUUCUAUGGCAACACUCAGAAAGGAGCCCUGUGCAAAUGACAGAAAAGUGAAAUUCUCAGAACUCAUUUAUCUUUCUUUCCUUUCGACAGGAAAAUCAUGAAAGGGUAAGAUCUUGAUUAAAUAUAUGACAUCUGCCUAGUAAAUGUAGGCGUGAUCACUGCAAGAUAUAAGUAGGAGUGGAUUUAUAGGCAGAGAUAGUAUCUUUAAUAGGACUAAUGCUAUAGUCUAAUAAAACAGACCAGCUUUCAGGACAUGCAGGCUGAAGCUUCGAUCCUCACAGUAAAACAUAACUUGAAACUAGUGAUUCAAGUUUAACUUUUGCAAGUUAACAAACUACACCAUCAAAGAAGAUUGUGCCUGCAACUGAGGGGGGGCAAAUAACGCUAAAAAGUAGAAACUUGCAAAGUCAUUAGUUCCUAUUAGAGAGGGGAAUGUUGUGUUUUGUCACAAAAACUGAGGAAUUGCUGAAGGCUCAGGAAUGUCAAAAAUUAUAAAAUGGCACAGAACCAAUAUAUUUAUUGAUCCUAAAAUUGCUGUGUAGCAGAAUCAUUUCUUCUGUCUCCUGCACUGUAAUGAAUAGUAUAAUCAAGUUUAAACAGUUCUUUAUCUGCAUUUAACUUUGAAAACUGGUGUUUGUA